rnacentral:rRNA from 1 species
UACGGAGGGUGCGAGCGUUGUCCGGAAUCAUUGGGCGUAAAGGGCGCGUAGGUGGCCCGGUCAGUUCGUGGUGAAAGCGCGGGGCUCAACCCUGCGUCGGCCAUGAAUACUGCCGCGGCUGGAGCACUGUAGAGGCAGGCGGAAUUCCGGGUGUAGCGGUGGAAUGCGUAGAUAUCGUUUGGAACGCCAAUGGUGAAAACAGCUCGCUGGGGAUGUGCCGACGCUGAGAUACGAAAGCCAGGGGAGCGAACGGG